UACGUAGGGUGCAAGCGUUAAUCGGAAUUACUGGGCGUAAAGCGUGCGCAGGCGGUUUUGUAAGUCUGACGUGAAAUCCCCGGGCUCAACCUGGGAAUUGCGUUGGAGACUGCAAGGCUAGAAUCUGGCAGAGGGGGGUAGAAUUCCACGUGUAGCAGUGAAAUGCGUAGAGAUGUGGAGGAACACCGAUGGCGAAGGCAGCCCCCUGGGACAAGAUUGACGCUCAUGCACGAAAGCGUGGGGAGCAAACAGG
rnacentral:rRNA from 1 species